AUCCAGCUGACGAAUUCCAAAUAGGACGAACAGAGCGUCCUGGAU
rfam:Schistosoma margrebowiei strain Zambia genome assembly, scaffold: SMRZ_contig0009919